rnacentral:rRNA from 1 species
CCUACGGGUGGCAGCAGUGGGGAAUAUUGGGCAAUGGGCUCAAGCCUGACCCAGCAACGCCGCGUGAAGGAAGAAGGCUGUCGGGUUGUAAACUUCUUUUCUCAGGGACGAAGCAAGUGACGGUACCUGAGGAAUAAGCCACGGCUAACUACGUGCCAGCAGCCGCGGUAAUACGUAGGUGGCAAGCGUUAUCCGGAUUUACUGGGUGUAAAGGGCGUGUAGGCGGGACUGCAAGUCAGAUGUGAAAACCACGGGCUCAACCUGUGGCCUGCAUUUGAAACUGUAGUGCUUGAGUACUGGGGAGGCAGACGGAAUUCCUAGUGGAGCGGUGAAAUGCGUAGAUAUUAGGAGGAACACCAGUGGCGAAGGCGGUCUGCUGGACAGCAACUGACGCUGAGGCGCGAAAGCGUGGGGAGCAAACAGGAUUAGAUACCCCUGUAGUC